GAAAGGGCGCACGGUGGAUGCCUUGGCACUAGGAGCCGAUGAAGGACGGGACGAACACCGAUAUGCUUCGGGGAGCUGUAAGCAAGCUUUGAUCCGGAGAUUUCCGAAUGGGGAAACCCACCACUCGUAAUGGAGUGGUAUCCAUAUCUGAAUACAUAGGAUAUGAGAAGGCAGACCCGGGGAACUGAAACAUCUAAGUACCCGGAGGAAGAGAAAGCAAAUGCGAUUCCCUGAGUAGCGGCGAGCGAAACGGGACCAGCCCAAACCAAGAGGCUUGCCUCUUGGGGUUGUAGGACACUCUGUACGGAGUUACAAAGGAACGAGGUAGAUGAAGAGGUCUGGAAAGGCCCGCCAUAGGAGGUAACAGCCCUGUAGUCAAAACUUCGUUCUCUCCUGAGUGGAUCCUGAGUACGGCGGAACACGUGAAAUUCCGUCGGAAUCCGGGAGGACCAUCUCCCAAGGCUAAAUACUCCCUAGUGACCGAUAGUGAACCAGUACCGUGAGGGAAAGGUGAAAAGCACCCCGGAAGGGGAGUGAAAGAGAUCCUGAAACCGUGUGCCUACAAGUAGUCAGAGCCCGUUAACGGGUGAUGGCGUGCCUUUUGUAGAAUGAACCGGCGAGUUACGAUCCCGUGCAAGGUUAAGCAGAAGAUGCGGAGCCGCAGCGAAAGCGAGUCUGAAUAGGGCGAAUUGAGUACGUGGUCGUAGACCCGAAACCAGGUGAUCUACCCAUGUCCAGGGUGAAGUUCAGGUAACACUGAAUGGAGGCCCGAACCCACGCACGUUGAAAAGUGCGGGGAUGAGGUGUGGGUAGGGGUGAAAUGCCAAUCGAACCUGGAGAUAGCUGGUUCUCUCCGAAAUAGCUUUAGGGCUAGCCUCAAGGUAAGAGUCUCGGAGGUAGAGCACUGAUUGGACUAGGGGCCCCUACCGGGUUACCGAAUUCAGUCAAACUCCGAAUGCCGAUGACUUAUCCUUGGGAGUCAGACUGCGAGUGAUAAGAUCCGUAGUCAAAAGGGAAACAGCCCAGACCGCCAGCUAAGGUCCCAAAGUAUACGUUAAGUGGAAAAGGAUGUGGAGUUGCUUAGACAACCAGGAUGUUGGCUUAGAAGCAGCCACCAUUUAAAGAGUGCGUAAUAGCUCACUGGUCGAGUGACUCUGCGCCGAAAAUGUACCGGGGCUAAACGUAUCACCGAAGCUGCGGACUGUUCUUCGAACAGUGGUAGGAGAGCGUUCUAAGGGCUGUGAAGCAAGACCGGAAGGACUUGUGGAGCGCUUAGAAGUGAGAAUGCCGGUAUGAGUAGCGAAAGAGGGGUGAGAAUCCCCUCCACCGAAUGCCUAAGGUUUCCUGAGGAAGGCUCGUCCGCUCAGGGUUAGUCGGGACCUAAGCCGAGGCCGAAAGGCGUAGGCGAUGGAUAACAGGUUGAUAUUCCUGUACCACCUCCUCACCAUUUGAGCAAUGGGGGGACGCAGGAGGAUAGGGUAAGCGCGGUAUUGGAUAUCCGCGUCCAAGCAGUUAGGCUGGGAAAUAGGCAAAUCCGUUUCCCGUGAAGGCUGAGCUGUGAUGGCGAGCGAAUUAUAGUAGCGAAGUUCCUGAUUCCACACUGCCAAGAAAAGCCUCUAGCGAGGUGAGAGGUGCCCGUACCGCAAACCGACACAGGUAGGCGAGGAGAGAAUCCUAAGGUGAUCGAGAGAACUCUCGUUAAGGAACUCGGCAAAAUGACCCCGUAACUUCGGGAGAAGGGGUGCUCUGUUAGGGUGCAAGCCCGAGAGAGCCGCAGUGAAUAGGCCCAGGCGACUGUUUAGCAAAAACACAGGUCUCUGCGAAGCCGUAAGGCGAAGUAUAGGGGCUGACGCCUGCCCGGUGCUGGAAGGUUAAGAGGAGCGCUUAGCGUAAGCGAAGGUGCGAAUUGAAGCCCCAGUAAACGGCGGCCGUAACUAUAACGGUCCUAAGGUAGCGAAAUUCCUUGUCGGGUAAGUUCCGACCCGCACGAAAGGCGCAACGAUCUGGGCACUGUCUCAACGAGAGACUCGGUGAAAUUAUAGUACCUGUGAAGAUGCAGGUUACCCGCGACAGGACGGAAAGACCCCGUGGAGCUUUACUGCAGCCUGAUAUUGAAUGUUGGUACAGCUUGUACAGGAUAGGUAGGAGCCUUGGAAACCGGAGCGCCAGCUUCGGUGGAGGCAUCGGUGGGAUACUACCCUGGCUGUAUUGACCUUCUAACCCGCCGCCCUUAUCGGGCGGGGAGACAGUGUCAGGUGGGCAGUUUGACUGGGGCGGUCGCCUCCUAAAAGGUAACGGAGGCGCCCAAAGGUUCCCUCAGAAUGGUUGGAAAUCAUUCGCAGAGUGUAAAGGCACAAGGGAGCUUGACUGCGAGACCUACAAGUCGAGCAGGGACGAAAGUCGGGCUUAGUGAUCCGGUGGUUCCGCAUGGAAGGGCCAUCGCUCAACGGAUAAAAGCUACCCCGGGGAUAACAGGCUUAUCUCCCCCAAGAGUCCACAUCGACGGGGAGGUUUGGCACCUCGAUGUCGGCUCAUCGCAUCCUGGGGCUGUAGUCGGUCCCAAGGGUUGGGCUGUUCGCCCAUUAAAGCGGUACGCGAGCUGGGUUCAGAACGUCGUGAGACAGUUCGGUCCCUAUCCGUCGCGGGCGCAGGAAAUUUGAGAGGAGCUGUCCUUAGUACGAGAGGACCGGGAUGGACGCACCGCUGGUGUACCAGUUGUUCUGCCAAGGGCAUCGCUGGGUAGCUAUGUGCGGACGGGAUAAGUGCUGAAAGCAUCUAAGCAUGAAGCCCCCCUCAAGAUGAGAUUUCCCAUUCCGCAAGGAAGUAAGAUCCCUGAAAGAUGAUCAGGUUGAUAGGUCUGAGGUGGAAGUGUGGCGACACAUGGAGCUGACAGAUACUAAUCGAUCGAGGACUUAACC
rnacentral:rRNA from 1 species